UUAGAAUAGCUGUCAUCAUUUUCUUUCGCACAUAGAACCACUUUGAAGGAGGGGCGCUCUGAAGUGGGACCUAUUAAGAUCUCUAGCAUUCAGAAAAAAGUCGACAUGGCGAUCAAGUUGUUCAUACUCCCAAAGAUAAAUCGAAUGGGCGUGGCUGGAGUUCCUCUGCCCAAAAUGGAUGGGUUUGAGAUGGCAAAUACAUCCAUCACACCGGGAUUGGGAUUCCUGAAGAUUGGAACUGAUCUCGUUCACACGCACCAAUCGGCCAAUGCCGCCUAACGACUUUGUUGGUCUGUCUCGCUGGCCAUAUGUAUACAUGUAGGCCUUUAAAUUCACGUUACGUGGCUUCUAUCGUGGACUUACUACACGAUUCUAUAAAUUAAGCUAGGAUACGUUGUUGUUGUUGGUAGUGGUGGUGGUUUAAUGGCGAUUGUCUGUCAAUGAUUUUCGCCAGAGAAUAACUUAAGGGUGUGGUCCAUGCAUGUAAAUAUAAAAGAUAUCCUAUAACAUUUUCAAUUUCACGAAGGGUUUCUCGAGCUGUAAAAGUCACGACUUAUGUAUCAUCACUUUCACAUUAUGGCAUAAGUAGGCCUAAUACCGGAAAAUGCAUAUUUACAAUAAGAAUUCGAUUUUCACUUAUAUGUACCAAUUUUCCUGCUAGAAAUACAUGUAUUGGGUCAGUUUUUUGUAUACUUAAUAAACUUUAUAAUCAUUCGUAUGUUUAAUAAACUAUAUAAUCAUUCGUAUGCUUAAUAAACUUUAUAAUCAUUCAUAUGCUUAAUAAACUAUAUAAUCAUUCGUAUGCUUAAUAAA